GGAGAAAAGAAUGAAUGUCUUUGAAACUAAGAUAUUAGAGGAAUUGAAGAAGUUGCGCAAACAAAAUGGCACGUCAAAUAUGACACGAGGGGUAAGGCGGACGUAUAAGACGGAGACAAAGUGAUCGUACGAUCAAAGGACCACAUAUUUGAUGCAACUCUUCAACAGAAAACUCGAGGACUAAUCAAAAGCAAAAUCAAUGAAAGAGACUGUCAAUGUUUAUUCAUUCGAUGGUAUGCGGUUUUAUGAUAACAUACAUAUGUUAUAAAGCUUCACACAACACUUGCAUAACAUUAUAUGUCCAGGUAGGGUCGUUUUCAUAAUCUGUUGUAUUUAUUUGGUGAUAUUGCACUUGUACAAUGAUUGUUAGAUGAUAAUAUGACGGCUGUGUGUUAUUUAUAAGUAUUAAAUGGUUAUUUCUACAUUUACAUAGAUUUUUGAUUCUAUAUAAAUUAGCUAUAUAAGAUGUUUAAAACGCUUUCAAUAAUGCACUUUUUAUGAUGUUGAAUGAAUAAUGAAUGCAUGCUAUAAUUGUUUCUGUAACUUAAAUGCAUUUUAUCAUCUUCAUGUGGGUGUGAACUUCUUUAAAUAUUAGUUUAAUGUACCGAUACCAGCGGGCAAUAUUUCGUUGCCACUUCAGGUAUAGUUGUGGGCAAAUGCAGUUUUUGGAGCCAUUUGCCUAAUAUAAGCGAUUUCAUAUUAUCGUAAAUGACGUUUCAUACAAUGUUUUGUUCACAAUUGUUUAUAAAUGUCUAAAACAUCAAACACACGAAUUAUAAAUGCAAAGUAAAUAUGAGAAUACAUAACUUAUGUUUGUUCUUUACCGAAGUCUGUAAAGAUAAAAUGAUAACAUUGUCAAGCCUGUUUGAAGAUACAACUAAUGAAAAUGAGAAAAAAAGCUACUAAGGCGACACUUUACUAUAUGUUGAACAAGCACUUUAAUGAGUUGCGUUAAUUUUCAUUAUAGAUUUUAUCAUUUGUUUUAUAUUUAAACUUAUAAAUGGUUGCGGUAUAAUAUACAGAUAGCUCAUUAAUCUUCGAACCUCUUGCCAUAAGAGUGGCCCAAAGACAGCCUGCUUAUAUGAAUCUCAGUGUUUGGCUUUGGUCCGGUCAAUUCUUUUGGGCUCAAUUGUUGGUCACUAUAAUGUGGUGGAGCCGUGAGUGUUUGGCAUUUACUUAUUUCAUAUUUUUGUUGACUCAAAUGAGUCGAAUGUUAUUCGAAUUGAGUUGGACAAAUUGUCGUGCUUUCUUGCAAUUUUAUUUGUUAUGCUAUAUAAUGGUCUCACUCGAACAUUCCCGAUAUUUAAUCCGCAAAACACGAUAUCCGUCCGUCCUUCGCGCUUCCACGCGUUUUGCACUUCCGCGCGUCCUGUACUUCGUGCCUGCGUCAGUUUUCAUGAACCAGUAUUCGAUUUUAUUUCCACUUAAAAAUGAAGUAAUUUAGAUGACGGCCAUGUGCAUAUGUAAUUUCUGUCAAAUAAUUUCCCGUUUGAUAAGCAUCAAUUCGUUUCACUUUAUAUUGCGUGUUUUUUAAUUGCAUUAAUAUAUUUUGCUUAUUUGUUUUUUAUUUAUUGUUUAUUGUGCAUGAUUUCAUGUUUUAUAUAUAAUGAAAUGUUUUUAGUUGUGAAUAUAGUUGUAAAUCGCACUCAUGUACGUUUACAGUGUAACAGGUAGCAUAAUUUUUGCUGUUAAUCAUAAAUGACAAUAAGGAGACAAUAUUAUCAAAUGCAAAUGAUGCUGAUGCAAAAUUUCUUCGAUCAUAAGCAAUAUACUUAACAGAAGCAUCUGUGAUAUAUUUAGCUUAUAUCCGCUUUAAGCUCUAGUGUGCGGAUAAUGGUUUGUUAUAGAUUUAUGUUUAUUCGGAGCUUUAUUAAGAUUGCAAGCUAAACUCAUAACUAAAAUGGUUUGUGAAAUUUGCUUACAUCUGCUUCGCUUAAACCUUGAUAUGAACGUACAAAAAUAUCAACAAAACUGUUCGAUGUCGUCUUUUUGACAAAACAGAUUCUGACACCAUUUGUCGGGACAAUCACGAUUGCAGCAGUUAUUACUUCCUUUUAAAACUGGCCUGUUCAUGAUACCACUUUUCCGAUUGCGGGUAGUUUGUCCUUCAAUGUAGAACUUUGAUUGCAUCGCUGAUGUUUGCGUGAAAUAAGAAGUGUCAUAAAGUGAAUUGUUCAUGCUUAUUCCAAUUAUGUUGCAGUGAAAUUGUAAUCCCAUAUGUUAUGUUCGAGUUUUAUAUUUUUAUACAAAACAUUAUCAUGUUAUUUUAAGAAUUGAAACUUACAUACAUUUGAGGCAGGCUGCGUCAAUAUGUUAUCAAAACAUAGGAUUAUAUUAUCCGAUAUAAUGCUUGUAUAUAGUAAGAAAACUGUAAACCGCUAUCAUAGAUUACUAAUCAAAGGAUUAUUACUUGAUACAGGUUGCGUUUAUUUUGUUAUUACUAUUGAUUACCUUUUUAUAAAAUCUUAGAGUUAUGUUUUAUGUGAACUGAAUACCUGGUACACGAGGACAUUUGUAUUAUGUUUAUCAAAAGUGACCAAGUUAAAUGAUAAUAUUUUUUAUUAGUAAAAAUUACCUAUUUUUUAUAUUUACUGGACGUAAAUUUAUAUACCUUUUUGGGACUGUACAACUAAAUCGUAUCUAUAUGUAGGUUUAGCAUGUGUUAUAAUAAAACCAUACUCUAGGAUGUAUUGAUGACAAUUAUAUCAAGUUGUCAUUGACUAAUGAAACAUUUAAAAAGUACUUUAGAUAUAUUGUUUCCUAUUGAAGUAUUAGAUAAUGUAACUUAACCAAAAACAUUUUUGGAAGAAAUAUGAAGCUGUUAUAAAACAAUAUUUUAUGAGAAUUUAAUGAAAAGUUUAUCAUUUGUAAAGUGUAAAGGAAUAUUAAGACACAAAAUAAGUUUAUACUUUGCUACUAGGACGAUGGUACCAACACAUGUCCUAUAGGGAGGAACAAACGAUGUUAAUACUAGGACCUAUGCAAAAUUAGCUACAUUAUGAACAUUGUAUACUGUUUUUGGUGUUUUUACAUUCCAGUCCGUCCUAUUACCAUUAGAAAGGCACCCAUUUUUGAAAGAAUUCAUGUAAUUUUCUAGUAUUAAAGCAAUUAUA